CUUCUUGGUCCCUUCUUUGGUACCUCUAUGGGAAAGCAAAUGAAGAGCUUCCUGAAGGACUAUUCAUGUCACCAACUACAUCCCAUCAGGAGGCUUGCCGCUAUGUUGCAACGGAUCUUACAGCACAAUUGUGUCUGCGGAUUGUACUUUGGCUUGAAGGACUU